rnacentral:lncRNA from 1 species
GUGCCUGGCCCUGUGCUGGGAGUGCCCUGUGCAGGGAGCAGACAUGCUGAGCAGCCGAGGCACCUGCUGGCGCUGAGGGUGAUGUGAGGAGAGGCCCGAAAGGCCAUGAAUGACAGUGUCUUCUGGGGGGGCCCUCUAGAGGUAAAGCACCACUGUUUUUUUCUGGAAUUUGGAUCCAGUUGUCCAGUAAUUGUUGGACAAAGAUCAUCCCGAAACUACUCUAGCUCUUCCUUCUGCAAUGUGCAUGGAAUACGCAGAAACCAGUGAGUGCAAGUCAGCUCUUCCCACGGGUAUGCCUGUGGAUAGACUGCCUGGAGAACUGCUUCUGCAAAUUCAAAUGCUUUGGAGGACGCUAUUUCCACCCCCGAGGUGGGCCGUUUGCGUGCGGGUCACUCGCAGGAGUUCGUUAGCCGUUGGCCCUCUUGAAAGCGGCUCCUUCACUCAUUAUAAAGUGUUUUUGAUCCAUUUUCGGGAAGGGCUUUGUUUGUAGCACAUUGUUGGCAGUUUGGACAGAAUCUUUUAAGUGGUGUGAAGUGCUGGGGAGCAUGCACCUGGGCUGCCAGGAAGGAGCCCCCCCACCCCAACCUUGGCCCUUCUGAGAGGCGCCAGACCCGCCUGGGUUUUGGGGACUUGGAAAUUAAAGCAAGAGACUUGGGGAUUUGAUGCUGAGAUUGUGGUUUGUCCUCAUUCACGUCUGCCUGGGAAACUACAAAUGAGAAAUCAGACCAGAAAGCUGGCCGUACCAAGUGUUCUGUCUCAGCCUCCAAAACACCAGUCUGAAGACAGAAAAGCGGUGCAUCCCCUCCGAGGGAACUUCUUCGAUCUCGCCUCGGCGCACGGAGGCAUUGAUUUCAAGUAACAUGAGGCGAAGGUGGGAAGAGUGAUAACCAGGUGGGCAAAAUUCGUGGUGAGAAUACUGCGGUGACUGUCCGAGCAGCUGGCCCUUUAUCCGUUAGCAUGAGGUGACCCAGUUUAAUCUGGAGAGUCAGGAAUGACAGAAAGUGAAGUCCUGGGAGUGGUCCCUCUGUCUGUCCCACCAGCAACUACUGGAAACGAAGACUUCUCUGGUCCAGGAGCUGCUGGGCAGGAACAGACAGAGUUCUCAUUCCUGGGGUGAGGUGUUGUGAAGCUUGAGUGGGUCACUCCCCAUGCAAGGGCCUUUGGCAAUUGUCAGGACUCUUUCUUUAUUUUCAUUUUAUUGAAGUAGAGUUGCUUGACAAUCUUAUGAUAACCUGCGGCACAACAAAGUGAUUCGGUCAUACGUGUACACGCAUCCAUUCUCUUUCAGAUUCUUUUCCCAUACAGAUCAUCACAGAGUAUUGGGCAGACUUCCUGUGCGACACAGCGGGUCCCCGUUGGCCAACCAUUCCCUAGCCCUCAGUGUGCCUGUGCCAAUCCCAAACCCCCAGUCCAUCCCUUCCUCCACCAGCCCCCUUUGGAAAGCAUAAGUUUGUUUUCAAAGUCUGUGAGUCUUUUUCUGUUCUGCAAAUAAGUUCAUUCCUAUCCUUUUUUUUUUUUUUUCUUAAGAUUCUACAUAUAAUGUCAGGGCUCUUUCUGAUGUAAAUAGGGAGGCGAAGCCCAAAGGGCUUUCAUCUGCAGGUCCUGCAGUCCUGCUCAGAGAAGCGGAGGGAGGAGGGCUCCAGGACAGAGACCUGUCAGCUCUCCUCUCUUCUUCGGCCCCAGCAACGACCCAUGUCUCUACCCAUGACCCCAGCAUUGUGUCUAUUCAGCUCUGCUUCCCCAGAGAUGAAACAAAUUCUCUCUCCCAGCUUCCCCUGGAAAAAUUCGUAGGGAAGGACUCUGAUUGACCCAGCACAGGUGACUAUGACAAACACUGGACCAAUCACAGUGGCCGGGGGGAAUAAGGUGCCAUCCCAGGGGAUGCGUGUACCUCUGUGGUCAGGAGAACAGAUGUGAUGGGGCGGAUUACUGUGAGGUAGGGAGCAACCAAGUGGUACCCAGCCUGCUCACAGAGAUGGGUCACCUACUGUGUGCCUGGCUAGGGCUCUGCACCGCAUGCUCACAUGCCAUCACAUGCCAUCUCGUCAGUCGUCACAGCUCCUCCUCAUCAGUCCCAUCUCCUCCUUGGCAGUAGAGAUGGCCUCUGUUGUUAAAUAAAUGCCCAGGUGGAUGUGACUCUGUGCAGUGGAGACUUCUAUAAAGUCUGUGGCCAAGGGGACAUGCACGUGUCAUGCGGCUGGACUGCAGAGACAACUUGGUGCCAGCCCAGGAUGCUCUCCUAGAGUCGGACCCCCCCCCACCAAAGCCCAGCAAAGCCUUGCCAAAUCGUGCCUCAAUUCUUUGUUUUAGGAAUUAAUCUUAAUUAGCACUUUAUUGGAUUCUCUAACCCACUCAAGCCCUAGAAGGAUAGGACUCAUAGAAGUUAAUGUAACAAUAAUUACGGCUGGUUAUUAUCGAUGGCUUAUUAAAUAGCAGUCCCAGGCUGGGUUCCUGAUGCUCGUCAUCUGCUUGAAUCCUCACAAUAACCACAUAAGGGAGAUAAUAUUAUCACAGUUUCGUAAAUGAGGAAACAGUGGUUGGGUAGUUUGCCAGGGUCACACAGCAGUGAAUGCUAGAAUUGUUAUGCCUUGGUUUACUGUGUCUUGGACUUGAAGAAGCAGUAUGAGAUUGAGAACUGCAUUCACUGAGCUUCGUGGGGAGGGUGCGUUCCAGGCUCUCUUCUUCAAGCUCUGCUGUCUCCAUUAGACCAAUGCGGCAAAUCUCCCAUCAGUCAUCCUGCUGGACCCAACAGCUUCUUCCUGGGUGGACGUUCAGUUAUUUCCUGCUGGGGCACCAAGCACAGACCAUGUGUCUCUGGUGCCAUUGUAGCCAUCUUUGCUAGGAUGGGGUCCUAUAGAGGUAAAGAGAAAUGGCCCAAACUAUACUGUUGACCCUGGAUGCAGCCAGACCUGAAGGUAACCACCCCGGACUUCUCAUUUCUGUGUGACAGUGCAUCCUUUGGUUUAAAUAAACAAGUUUGUGUUGUGUUUCUGUCACUUGUAAGCAGGAGUCGUGAGCAUUGCUGGGGUCCCCCAGACACCACACUACCUGUUCUUGCGUGUGUCAUCCUUUUAAAAACUCACACGCAUGUGUCAUCCUUCUAAAAACUCACACGCUUGUGAGAUGAACAUCAUUACAUCCGUUUCAUGGAGCAGAAAGUGAGGAUUAAAAGAGGUCAAGUUACUUGUCCAGAGCUCCUCAGCAAUGAAAUGGCAGAGCUAGGGCUUGUACAGCGUUAUUGAUCCCCAGGGAUCAAUAUUCCUAAAGAUAUUCCCAGUUCCUAAGAAUGUAGGAUGGGGCGGGGAGCAGAGGAUAAAGGAAAGAGGAGAGAGAAAGGAGGGAGGAAGGGAGCGAGCAGGAGGGAGAGACACAGAGAAAAGACUGUUCGCGUUUUUGAAUUGAGGAAUUUAAAAUCUUUUGGUGGCAAGUUAUGAUGGUGUAUUUCUAGGGCUUAGGAAUUUUAUCCUGCUAUUUGUUCUUCAAAUAAAAGAAUCAGAGUUGCUGACUUAGUUUAAACCAACUCCAAAGACUGCAGAGUUGACUGCUGAUUAAAAACUUGUCUUUCUUGGUCUGAGAGAGGAAUAGCAGCUAUGACUUCCCUGGAUGUGUUGCAUCUUGCAAAUGUGAUUUUCAUUUGUAGCACUUGAGAAUACCAAUGAUUGGAAACAUGUAACUUGAUUAUUAACAAGCUAGAAAUAGGAACAGAGUAUUCGCUUUGGCAUCUACCCGUGCUCGUGUGAUAAAAAUAAAUUGGAAGACGUCUAAAUAGGAAAUUAAAGGUGAUUUGGGCAUCAUUAGUCUGGCAGCUUUUCUGUCACCCCAUAUAUACCAGGGAGCCCAUGAGCUAAUUCCAAAGUCUAAUGGGCUCCUAGAUGAACGGAACCUCUAGACGGUAGCAAAUGUGAAAGGUCACAUUGGACUCAAUGAGCUUUGCCAUCUGUGAAUUGAACCUGAAUCUUUCAAGAAGGAAACAGAAUUCCGGCCGUUUUAUUUCGGCUCUCUUUUGGAGGCGUGCCGUCAUUUUUAAUGGAUAAACCUCUACUGCACUGCCUUUUUCAAAUCCUCGUGGUUUCAUUUUCUCUCAGUUCUACCAUCUAAAACUUUUUGCCGUACUCAUCUUCCCUGCUUAUUUGCUCCUUCGUACAUAUUCUGCAGCCAAAACCCUCUGCUUGCAGAGCCUCCUGGAGGACGGAUGCUGGGGAUGGGGUUAUGUUCAGGAAGGAAGGGGCCAGGCUCGUCUAACCUUGUUAGCCACAAAAAAGAUUUUCAGAUUCCCAUCGACUUAGAAAUGAAGCUAUCGGAAUUGGGUUCAAGCCUGCAUCUUGCAUCAGUGGAAAUGGGUAUUGUGAUUGCUGUGUUGAAAUGUGUGCUCAAAUGCAUUGGGGGUUUUAUACUAUUUCUCAAACUUCCACAUAGAUAAUGUCAGACCGUUUCUGAAAUGGGAUACUAUCAUCAAGAUAUACGGCACCAAUCAGCAGGCAUCCGGCCGAGCAGAGGGAGCAGGAGGGUCUAGGAGACUGCUGGAGAAUUUCCAUUUUCCAUUCCCUGUGUCAACAGCUUGGCAACUCCCCUCCUAGAUUGCUUUAUGGCUUCGGGAGAAUUUCUCCGUCAGCCCCUGGGCCAUCCUCAGCUCCAUGUUCAAAAGCCAAGGAAUUAGAUGUGCUGUCAUUUACAGAACUGUUUAUGAAAGUAUCUCUUUUGAAUUGUUCAAAAAUCCAAAAGGCGUCAAACUCUGACAGUUUAAGACGACGGCAAGAAGGGCCCUGGUGAUCUCCGGCGUACAGCCUCCGCUGUUUGAGGCUCUCUUGUUGAAAAUGCAAUUUCUUUUUUGAGGAUUUCUUCCAGCCUGCGAUGCUUCCUUGGAAACUUUUGCCUUUUUGAAAGGAUCUCUUCCCUACGAGGCAGCUGACAGAGGUCAUAUUACGAAUAUGUUGCUGGGAUGAUAACAUUUUGAUUAGAUAUGCAAGGAUCUUCUAUCCUUCCCUAGGAUGUCGUAUGCUAACAUUUUUCAUUAUUUUAAGAAAAUCACGUAAGUCGAUACCAUGCUGCAAUAAGAACUUGAAUUUUGUGGCUUAUUUUCUUUGCCGUAAUGUGCCAGCACCAUGGGCAUCGUUGCAGGGAAUAAAUGACUCUUCCCCAAUAAACCAAAUGCCUAAAGAAGCCCCUGGAGGAGGCAGGGACGUCCAUAAAAAGUGAAAUGGAUUUCAUCCUGUGGUGUUCCAUUUAGUAUAAUAAGGAGAAUUCAGAAAUAAUCCAAUCCUCCAAACGAAAAGACCUCUGCUACGAAGCAAUGGGAGGUUUACCUUAUACCAGAACCGAGUAGGUGUGGUUUAAUGUGUGCCAAAAUGUAUGUGUGCAGUUACCUAUUUUCCUCUAUUAGAGUCAUCAGUUACCUAAAAAAUUAGAAAUCUCUCUUUCUACUUCUCUCUCUCUCACGCUCUCUCAGCUUGAAAAAUCAGCUCCUUAAAGCCAACUACCAGGAAGCAUUCAUCAAAAGGCCAAGCUGUGGUUCUGCAGCUCAUCAAGCGAAGGCCCGUGUGGGUGCUUGGGCCCUUCCACCCGGAAGAUGCCCAGGAACGGAAAACAUUUCGAAAAUGGUCCCAGUAAGUGGACACCACUAAUUGUCGUCUGAUACUGGUGUUGCUGGGAAAAGCAAGGCACCGACACCCGGCCGUGGAAGGCAGAGUGAGGAACGGUUUGGGAUGUCGAUAAAUGACAUCAAGGGGCGUGGAACUAAAAGCCGGCACUUGGGAGAUGCCCAGAGAGUGAGCGAAACAGGCACUGGCUUCCUGUGCCACGGGGUUUGAUGAAAGUCAGCACAAAGAUGAGAGAGCAGGGAAAAUGAAGAAAAAUGAGUGGUCCUCAGUCCCCAAAGGUGUUAAAAACUCAUGCUUUCCACAAACGCGAUGUUUCCCAGUGCUGUCCCCCGAAACCAAGGUGUGAAGUCCAUAUUUACCCACACAAAACUUUAAAAUGUCAUUUUGGAAAUAAGUUUGGGGAGUUUAAAUUCCUUUUUAUUUCAUCCCUAAACUUUUAAUAACAUAGAAAUGAAAAUAAUUGCCACUAACCGAUGCAAUGUAAUGAUCACACUUCCAUAAAAUAUUCCUGCAUCCACACUGCAUUUCGUUCUUCAGCAAAAUGAUGCUCAAGCAGUAAGUACAAUUAUUUGAAUGUCGAAUUCAAAACACCCAUUAGCAAUAAGACUUCUUAAAAAUGUUUCAUUAGCAACCAAAUGCCAGUUUUCCUAGAUGUGUUCCCCGCUCCCCACCCAGGGUCCAUGGCUACCACGCAGGCUGUCCCCGAGUUCUUUGUCCCGUGACUGGAAAUGAUGAACUGUCACUUCCUUUGAGCCAAAUUCUGCCAGGAGAGAUGUCCACCUGUGUUUAUUAAGGAGGCAGAAAUAAGCUUGAAAUAAUUAAUUCUCUUCGUUCGUCUUGGUGGCAGGAGAAGGAGAAAGCAGCAGCAUCGCACCCCGCGUGAGCUGCAGAGAAGAAUCUGGAGACCCGGGUUCCAUCCCAGGUCCCACUUUCCUGGAUCUACAGGCUUCUGCAAGCUCCUUACCUGCACACAGCCUCAGCCUUGUGUCUGUAGAAUGGAGGUAACGAUUCCUAACUCUCUGGAGGUUUGCAGUCAAACGGGAUGGCGUGAGUGGAAAUGCCUACCACAACAUCAGCCACCUGUGCCAGGGCCUGAACUCACUGGCUUCAAGGUACUACACGGUGAUAGCCGUUCAAAAUGCUUUCCCAUUUGUGGUGCAGCAGGAACAAUCACACUAGUAUCCAUGAGGAUGCAGGUUCCAUCCCUGGCCUCACUCAGUGGGUCAGGGAUCUGGCGUGGCUGUGGCUGGGGCCUGGGUCGGCAACUGUAGCUCUGAUUUGACCCCUAGCCUGGGAACCUCCAUAUGCCUCAGGUGUGGCCCUAAAAAGCAAAAAAAAAAAAAAA